ensembl:snRNA
UGGAAGCGUGAAAUAAAAGCAGGACAGCACUCCUCUUGGUAAGGAUGGAAGAAGACCUAAUAGACUUAACCAUGUUUAAGACUGUCACUUACUUUGUGGUAUCUAAUGUAUAU